UCACUCUGCCAGCCGGCUCCCCGCCACUCGGCACCACGGCUUCCCUUCCCGAGCCCGGCGUGAGGGGCUUCCCCGUCGCCACCGCCGGUGCCACCAUCUCGUCCACCGGCCAAGCCCCGCCGCUCCCGCGGCCCGCGGCCGCCAUGCAGUUUAUGUUGCUUUUUAGUCGUCAGGGGAAGCUUCGCCUGCAAAAAUGGUAUGUCCCACUGUCGGACAAAGAGAAGAAGAAGAUUACAAGAGAACUUGUUCAGACCGUUUUAGCCCGGAAACCUAAAAUGUGCAGCUUUCUUGAAUGGCGUGAUCUGAAGAUUGUUUACAAAAGAUAUGCUAGCCUGUAUUUUUGCUGUGCGAUUGAGGAUCAGGACAACGAACUGAUCACCCUGGAAAUAAUUCACCGUUACGUGGAGUUGCUCGACAAAUAUUUUGGCAGCGUGUGUGAGCUCGACAUCAUCUUUAAUUUUGAGAAGGCUUACUUUAUUUUGGAUGAGUUUCUCUUGGGAGGAGAAGUUCAGGAAACAUCCAAGAAAAAUGUGCUGAAAGCAAUUGAGCAGGCGGAUUUACUGCAGGAGGUAAACUUGAUCGGAUAACUGAAGUUUGGUUACACUGAUCCCUGAAAUUUUGAACCAGAUUCCAAACAAGUCUCCAUCCCAGCACUGUUUCCCUCCAUAGGAAGCUGAAACUCCGCGUAGUGUUCUUGAAGAAAUUGGACUGACAUAAGCCUCCUCCCCUGUUGACGACUUCCUGUGGCAUUUCACACUGUAGAUGGUCACUGCCUUCAUGUUCAUGUUAGCUAAUGGUGUAAGAUGACGUCUUGUCAGUAUUACUGUUUUUGCUAAGCUGCUUCAUUCAGGCCUACACAAUUUUUUUAAAGGAACUUUGGGUAAUGAAGUGGUAACUUUAAGGGAAUUAAUAUGAAUUACAAUAAUGCAGAAAAAGUACCUUUUUUUGGAUAUUUUCAAGUUUAUAGGCCCGUUUCCCUUAUUUUGAUUAUGCAUAUGAAACUGACACAAUCAGGAAAUAUACAUUUAUUAUUAACCACUGUCUUUUAGCAAAGGAAACAGUUAAAUUAUGCAAAAUCUGGUUUUAUGAAACCAAAGACUAGUGUAGUACUUCAGUAUACGUGCAAAUAAAGGGAAUUACAAUAUCACAUAUAGAAUGAAAAUUUAACUCUUGACACAUCAAAUGUACUCCAAAUUUAUACCAAAGACCCUUAUUAGAAGCUUAUUACAAACCUUAAAACAAAGGGAACACACAAAUGACAAAAUUGGAACGAUGCUCUUUUAGCCCCAAAGAUUUCUUAGACAUUCGGACCCAGGGACAAUGAAUAGAGCUCAACCGUUUCAUACUAUGGCACACGUUCAUUUUUAAGGUCGAGGAGUGUCUGACUCCUGAGAGAAAUGGAAAACUAUCGUAUGGCAAAAUGUGUUCUUUUCUUCACCAAGUGUUACAUUAAGUCUUGGUUAAAGCUAUUAAAGUUAAAGCUUUUCUGGGGUGCUAGUUACUGCCACGUUAAUUUUGCUUCCCUCCACUUAGAAGUGCUGCCAAUGCUAAGGCAGUUUUCUUCCCUUCCGUGACACUGCCCAGUAUCAAAAGUAUUAUAAAAAUAAAAAGGGACACCGCCUUUCAUAUAAAAGGGAGAGCCGAAUGAGGUAAAAUGACAUUAGUGGGCCCGAUACUUUCAAAGCUGUCAAAUCGUUUUAGUGUCACUUUCAUGUAUCUUGAAUCUGUGGAAACACGUUUUCAUCAUUGCCAUUUCACUUGUACCUGCUGGGCUGGAUUAAGCUUCAUUGUGAUUCUGACCAACAUUUAGGCCAUGGGAACUCUGUCUUAUCCCAUCACCCGUUAGCUGUUGUAAAAUGCCCAACACAUACCACUGUAGUGUGCUUUUCUCUUUCCAAAACUGACCCAGUGUGGAAAGCUGCAGAGAGUUUUGAGUUUUUGUUUAGUAGAAUGCUGAAAAUAAACCUCCAUGUGAAUGUGGUGGUUGUUAAAAGCACAUACAAGAUAAAUGAUGCAAGAUUUAAGGGAUGUUCAUGUACUUCAGGCUCAUAAAAAAUAAUGUGGAUUCCAUGCUACUGAGAGCUUAUCUAUACAUUUAUUUUCAAUCAAUAAAUGCCGCUUUUAAAACCCUGAA